CAUCAUCAACGCCGAGCAUGUCAACAAAUAGCAUAUCAACGAAUUUAGAUUAUACUAAAUUUGUCAAAAGAUCUUCGACAAAGGAACUUCAUUUCAGCGUCACUACUACAUUUAGUAUAGCGGUUCUAGUGAUUCUUGUAGUAUUUGUUUUAGUAUGUCUCCAAGUAUCACUGAUUGGCAUACUCCGUCGUCAUUGGAGAGCACCACAAGAAGGAAACCAAUAUGAGCUGACUUUACAGUUAACGACUGAACCUAGAAUGUAUGCACAACCAGAAAUACAGCAUUACGAGGAUGUUGAUG